UCAACCUGCCCUUCAGAGGGGGACAACAGUUGGAAACGACUGCUAAUACCGCAUACGAUCCAACCUCGGCAUCGAGGAUGGAUGAAAGGUGGCCUCUAUUUAUAAGCUAUCACUGAAGGAGGGGAUUGCGUCUGAUUAGCUAGUUGGAGGGGUAACGGCCCACCAAGGCAAUGAUCAGUAGCCGGUCUGAGAGGAUGAACGGCCACAUUGGGACUGAGACACGGCCCAGACUCCUACGGGAGGCAGCAUG
rnacentral:rRNA from 1 species